rnacentral:misc_RNA from 1 species
GAAAUGCGAUAAGUAAUGUGAAUUGCAGAAUUCAGUGAAUCAUCGAAUCUUUGAACGCACCUUGCGCUCCUUGGUAUUCCUUGGAGCAUGCCUGUUUGAGUAUCAUGAAAUUCUCAAAGCAAGUCUUUUUGUUAAUUCAAUAGACUUUGCUUUGGACUUGGAGGUCUGCAGAUUCACAGUCUGCUCCUCUUAAAUGCAUUAGCUGGAUCUCAGUGAGCUUGGUUCCACUCGGCGUGAUAAGUAUCACUCGCUGAGGACACCCGUUAAAAAAGGUGGCCAGGAUUGCAGAUGAACCGCUUCCAACAGUCUAUUGAUUUAGACAAAUAAAUUUAUGAUCUGAUCUCAAAUCAGGUAGGACUACCCGCUGAACUUAA